rnacentral:tmRNA from 1 species
GGGCCUGUAAAGGUUUCGACGUGUGGAUAGACAACUGAACAGCGGGCAGGUGUUCCACGAGCUACCUCAAGUGAACGUGGAAAUUGAUUAAGCGCCGACAUCAACGACGCACGGUUCACUGACGCCGACUUCGACGCCAUCGAGGCUUACGCCAACGAGGGUGUCCUGGUCUGAGUCAGUGACCUGCCGGAGACAAGUCACUCUGCUGCACAGAGUUUCCGGCAUCAUCCUUAGCAGCAGGCGGGUAUCGGAGUGGGCUGCGCGAGCCUGGCCGGUCGGCAUUGCCUUAGAGCACAAUCGCGCACGGUCCUAGUCAUCGUCCUGUUCGUGGGGCAGGCUAGCUGGUACCACCAAACACGAACUACGCCCGUAGAACGCAGUUAGACAGAAGCGCGGACGGGGGUUCGAGUCCCCCCAGGUCCACGG